rnacentral:rRNA from 1 species
UGUCAGCAGCCGCGGUAAGACGAACCGUGCGAACGUUGUUCGGAAUCACUGGGCUUAAAGGGUGCGUAGGCGGAAUGGCAAGUCGGAGGUGAAAGCCCCCAGCUUAACUGGGGAAGUGCCCUCGAUACUGCUGUUCUCGAGAGAGGUAGGGGCGUGUGGAACUUCCGGUGGAGCGGUGAAAUGCGUAGAUAUCGGAAGGAACGCCGGUGGCGAAAGCGAUGCGCUGGACCUUUUCUGACGCUGAGGCACGAAAGCUAGGGGAGCGAACGGGAUUAGAUACCCCGGUAGUCCUAGCCCUAAACGAUGGGUACUGGGUUGCGGGUCAGACAUGGACUCGCAGCCGAAGCAAAAGUGGUAAGUACCCCGCCUGGGGAGUAUGGUCGCAAGGCUGAAACUCAAAGGAAUUGGCGG